rnacentral:rRNA from 1 species
AUUGAACGCUGGCGGCAUGCUUUACACAUGCAAGUCGAACGGUAACAGGCCUUCGGGUGCUGACGAGUGGCGAACGGGUGAGUAAUGCAUCGGAACGUACCCAGAGGUGGGGGAUAACGCAGCGAAAGCUGUGCUAAUACCGCAUGUGAUCUGAGGAUGAAAGCGGGGGACCGAGCAGCAAUGUUUGGCCUCGCGCCUUUGGAGCGGCCGAUGUCGGAUUAGCUAGUUGGUGGGGUAAAGGCCUACCAAGGCGACGAUCCGUAGCUGGUCUGAGAGGACGACCAGCCACACUGGGACUGAGACACGGCCCAGACUCCUACGGGAGGCAGCAGUGGGCAAUUUUGGACAAUGGGCGCAAGCCUGAUCCAGCAAUGCCGCGUGCGGGAAGAAGGCCUUCGGGUUGUAAACCGCUUUUGGCAGGAACGAAACGGUGUCCGCUAAUACCGGGCGCUAAUGACGGUACCUGCAGAAUAAGCACCGGCUAACUACGUG